rnacentral:tRNA from 1 species
GCGCGGAUAGAGAAACGGUGUCUCACGAGCCUCAUAAGCUUGCAAGUAUCGGGUUCGACUCCCGACUGCGCC